UAGAGUUUGAUCAUGGCUCAGAUUGAACGCUGGCGGCAGGCCUAACACACGCAAGUCGAGCGGUAACGGAAAAGAAGCUUGCUUCUUUUGCUGACGAGCGGCGGACGGGUGAGUAAUGCCUGGGAAUAUGCCCUGAUGUGGGGGAUAACUAUUGGAAACGAUAGCUAAUACCGCAUAAUCUCUUCGGAGCAAAGAGGGGGACCUUCGGGCCUCUCGCGUCAGGAUUAGCCCAGGUGGGAUUAGCUAGUUGGUGGGGUAAUGGCUCACCAAGGCGACGAUCCCUAGCUGGUCUGAGAGGAUGAUCAGCCACACUGGAACUGAGACACGGUCCAGACUCCUACGGGAGGCAGCAGUGGGGAAUAUUGCACAAUGGGGGAAACCCUGAUGCAGCCAUGCCGCGUGUAUGAAGAAGGCCUUCGGGUUGUAAAGUACUUUCAGUUGUGAGGAAGGCGUUGAAGUUAAUAGCUUCAGCGUUUGACGUUAGCAACAGAAGAAGCACCGGCUAACUCCGUGCCAGCAGCCGCGGUAAUACGGAGGGUGCGAGCGUUAAUCGGAAUUACUGGGCGUAAAGCGCAUGCAGGCGGUCUGUUAAGCAAGAUGUGAAAGCCCGGGGCUCAACCUCGGAACAGCAUUUUGAACUGGCAGACUAGAGUCCUGUAGAGGGGGGUAGAAUUUCA
rnacentral:rRNA from 1 species